ensembl:lncRNA
GUUUUACAAACCAAUGUGGCAAUAGAAAAAAUGCUAAGAUAAGAUUUCAAUUUAUUUUAAAGGGACAUCACAAACCAGGGAGUGUCGGGCUGAUGUCAAUGAUUCUCACACGGUCUGUGAGUGCACUGAGCUGACAUUUUUACAUUAAACACUUACUUUCGAUUUCGAACACAUGGUUACUGUUUCCGUGAAUAAAACUCUUAAACAGGCGCGCACUAAAAGGGUUUAAAGGAAAGGUCAUCGAUUUAGAAGUGUGACACGCAUUUGAACCCCAAUAGACACAGAAAUCCAACAACCUACCAACACCAGGCGAUCAUGGGUGUCAGUUAUUCAGUAAAGUUGAUCCCCUGCUGAAGUACAAAGGCUGUCAAAUCAAUCUCAAACGCACACAAACCUCCCUGCACAAACAGCAUGGUUUGUGAUUGAUGUGCAGCUCAGAGGCCACAGUGUUCGACUGAUGGCCCUAAACAAAAAAGCAAAAAAAGCAAAAAAAAAUAACCACACACUGAUCUCUCUAAAGUAUUUCUUAUUGAUCUGGUUUCCUGCCUGCAGCCCUACUGACACAUGAACACCCAGCAGUCCUACAGAGAAAGAAACCAAAUAGGGAGAAGGAAGGAUUGAAAUUGGUUUAAUUAAAUUCACCCCCACAGCUUGCCAUUGGGGGGAAUGGAAAGACUGAAGCAGACACAAGUGAGCCUACAGGUGCUUCUGAAGUCACUGUGCUCCCCUAUUACCCACCACACACAUCAUAAAGACAUACCCCACCUAUCAUUUGUUGAGUUUGCCGUCUCUCCCUUUAAUCUCCAGGCAGUUUAAUGCUUGCGGAUCCUUUGUCAGUUCUAAUUGGUCCUGCUCGUUGGGGUUGCCUUGGAAACCAGUUUAGAAAGUGUUGGCUGGAGGUCUGCCAAAGGUUGUGAUAAGAUUAGCUGUUAUGGCCCACUGUAACCAACACUGUGCGCAUUAUGCAAACAGAAAGUAGUUGCAGUGAUGCUGUUUGUUCCUCUUUUUUUUUUUUUUUUUAAAUGGUGGGAAAUAUAAACAAACUAAUUUCAGCUCUCUUAAGUUUAACAUGGAACAUGGCGUUACUGCAUGGUUCACUUUACUGCCAUUACAUACAUGCAUGAGGGAAAAUGUUCUGUGAUGGAAGAUGGAAGAGCUUUGGCUGCUGUUGGUAUAUGACAGCAGGUAUCAGUGUUGCAUGCUGUCUGCCACAGUAACAAGUCCCCCCACCCCCAAAGGCCUAAAUCUGUCUUUGUGAGCUUUGCUAACAAGCAAAAUGUCUGAGUCUUGUCAGGGUGAGGUUAUGGCACAUGCCAGGAGCUUCUUGUCCAAUUAUAUAGUCAGACAUAUAUAUGCUGCUGACACUCUCUCUGUCUUUGUCUCUCUGAGACACGUGACCGCCAACCACGUGACUUUAACUUGCCUGUCCGUGCCAGUUUGAACAUGUGACAAUCAUGGAACAAGUGAAUAAGAUUACAGUCACACAGUCAAUGACCAUCAGCCACUUGUUAGAAGUAAAAAUUAGUAUUACCUGACAGCAGGCAAUAGUGCAAUAAUACUACAACAGUGGCCAAAGCUUUUACAGCUUACCUCACAGGUUGCAAGUGGAAGCUGAAAGCUCUUGCUCAAUGUAACCACUUGAU